AGCGAACGCUGGCGGCAGGCUUAACACAUGCAAGUCGAGCGGACCUUUCGGGGUCAGCGGCGGACGGGUGAGUAACGCGUGGGAACGUGCCUUCUGGUCUGGAAUAACCCUGGGAAACUAGGGCUAAUACCGGAUACGCCCUUUUGGGGAAAGGUUUACUGCCGGAAGAUCGGCCCGCGUCUGAUUAGCUAGUUGGUGGGGUAACGGCCUACCAAGGCGACGAUCAGUAGCUGGUCUGAGAGGAUGANCAGCCACACUGGGACUGAGACACGGCCCAGACUCCUACGGGAGGCAGCAGUGGGGAAUAUUGGACAAUGGGCGCAAGCCUGAUCCAGCCAUGCCGCGUGAGUGAUGAAGCCUUAGGGUUGUAAAGCUUCUUUUAUCCGGGACGAUAAUGACGGUACCGGAGGAAUAA
rnacentral:rRNA from 1 species